rnacentral:rRNA from 1 species
CCUACGGGAGGCAGCAGUAAGGAAUAUUGGUCAAUGGACGCAAGUCUGAACCAGCCAUGCCGCGUGGAGGAUGACGGCCCUCUGGGUUGUAAACUCCUUUUAUCUGGGACGAAAAACGGACUUUUCAGUUCACUUGACGGUACCAGAGGAAUAAGCACCGGCUAACUCCGUGCCAGCAGCCGCGGUAAU